GGGGAUGUUUUGGUUUUGACAUCAGAUUAACUGGAAAGUACGCAUGCCGAGAGUUGGAGGCCAGGCUCGUAAAUCCCAACCUUCAAGCCUAUAGAUGGCAAUAACAACUAUGCACUUGCUGCGUAAUCAACCAAGUUGAUACGCUUAAUCCGCCCAGCCAAGGCUGCUGGGCCGACAAGUAUCCCGCCAGUUCUUUAAGCCCGCUCUGAACUGCGCAUAUGGGGUAUCAUCCAAGCGGGAUGCUGGUGUAGACUUCUCUCACGCACCUUAAGACUCAGAGGAUAAGAUUCAGGUAGCCCGUUUGCCGGCAGCCUGUUUCCGACAACCAAAGGCAAAAUAAGCAUGUAGAAAGCUUUGUGGUGGUUUGCUUGGACGGCGGUUCGAGUCCGCCCAUCUCCACAA
rnacentral:tmRNA from 1 species